UGGGGCGUCGCCAAGUGGUAAGGCAACGGGUUUUGAUCCCGUCAUUCGCAGGUUCGAAUCCUGCCGCCCCAGCCA
rnacentral:tRNA from 1 species